ACUGCCGUCGGACGGGACGGGUCGUGAGGGUUGGGGAACCCGUUGAGCGGUCCGUCGCCGAGGUCGAGGCGGGUCUUAGGGAGCCCGCUCCGAUCGCUCCGGCGAAGGAG
ncrna:unclassified sequences Actinomyces-1 RNA